rnacentral:rRNA from 1 species
AGAGACAGCAGUCGCCGCGGGAAUACGAAGGGUGCAAGCGUUACUCGGAAUUACUGGGCGUAAAGCGUGUGUAGGUGGUUGUUUAAGUCUGUCGUGAAAGCCCUGGGCUCAACCUGGGAAUUGCGAUGGAUACUGGGCGACUAGAGUGCGGUAGAGGAUAGUGGAAUUUCCGGUGUAGCAGUGAAAUGCGUAGAGAUCGGAAGGAACAUCUGUGGCGAAGGCGACUAUCUGGGCCAACACUGACACUGAGACACGAAAGCGUGGGGAGCAAACAGGAUUAGAUACCCGCGUAGUCCCUGUCUCUUAUAC